rnacentral:lncRNA from 1 species
UCGUAGCAACGAGCGUGAGGAGAAAAGAUCUAGGAGCCCUAAGCGUCACAGGGUAUCAUCUCCACCACCAUCCAAAGGGAGGAAGCACAGCCCAACACCUGAUGAGAGAAGCCCACGAGAGAGGGGCACUCCUUCACCAAGGGAUGGUAGGCCAGCCAAUGGCUCAGAGAAUAGUAGAAGCCCUAAAGAUGAUGCUCCAAGGGAUGAUGGUAUCAAAGAUAGGAGUCCUCUUGAAGAAAAUGGCCAUAGCCGAAGUCCUAGCCCCAUCCGUAGGGACAAUGGAAGCCCCGCUGAUAAUGAUGAAACCAAUGGUUCACCAAGGGGCAGUGAGUGAGAUAUGAAGUAUCUCAACUCUCCUUCAUUUCUGUGUAAUCUGUUUUGGGAGGUCUAUAUGUAUUAAUUUGGUGCUGGAACUCAUUAUCCCUGUUUCUAUGAGAUUUUAUACAAUCUAUUACAUUUGAAGAACGAUUUAAUCCACUUUGUUCUGUGUGUUGAUACGCCAGCCAAUUAGCCAAAUAAGUUGGCAGUUUGAUAAUACACUGAAUUUCUACUCCUCUCGUGGAACCAGGGAACUGCUGCUCAUAUUUAUUUGGUCCAAUAGAAACAUUAAGCAGUACUUUGACUUUGGCCCUCGUCCGUUACUGCUCCUCCUCGAGUUUAUUGAUUUGCAUUAGGGGUUAACCUCCAGUUUAGUGAUUUACAUUGGGUAUAAACCAGUUUUCUGUUGCCCGCGAAGGUCAUGGGACUAGCUGUUUAACGAUUCUCCUGCACUAUAAUGUGAUAACUUGCCUUGUCCUUUUGAAAGACGGAAGCAAGAAAUCAGUUUUACCUGGUCAAAGAAACCCACGGACUCUGGAAGAAAUUUUGCAGCGUCUAUAUCAUUAAAGCGUACGGUUUUUUGAAUUGCUGAUAUCAACUGUCGGCAGCGGCAAACAAUAUAGCAAAUCACUCAAUGCUGUUCACCUCCAGUAAACAAUUGAAUGUAGCAGAGAUUUCCGCUGGUGUUUCUUCGCUGUUGCUAAAGAAGCUGAGAAAUGGGUAUGCAAGAUCCCCUCUGCACAUGCUGCUUUCGUCUUCAGGACAUGUCCAAGAUUAGAAGCACAAAGGAAUCCCCGCCACCAACUGCAUUUUCACCGCUCCUCCCUCUCCCUCGUCACCACUCUCAUCAUACUGAUGCAUGUUUCUAUAUGAUUCCGCCAACCGAAUUUCCACCUUUAAUUGUACCUCUUUAAUUUGCAGUUAGCUGUUAAGAGUGAAUAACAUCACACAUAACGUCAAUAACGGACACCUGAUUCAAUGGCUUGAGCUUCGUGGAAGAGCUCAAGGUGACGCCAGAUGGACAUAAAUCAAGCAAAUCCAAGCAUCUUCAAAAUCCAGAGGGUUAGAGCCGAGGUAACUCACAGUAACAAGUCGCUAUUUUAUGUUUUUGCAAAGGUUCAGAAUGGAGUUUAGUUUGUGUUCCGCUAUUUGGAUGGAAGUGUGUUACAGAUGAGAGCUCUAUUAGCCAAUGCUACACCAUCGGCAUCAAGUGAAAAGCUUUACUCAACUACCUCAAGAUUUAAAUAAAGAUCUUAACUAAUAAUUACAAACCUAAGGGGGGUGUACUUGGCAUAUGUACAUUUGUAUGUAUCAAAUUGUAGGUCGGGGCAUCAAAACAAGCACCCAGACCAGUACCUGACAUGACCAGAUGCCAGACAAUCAGCAUUCAAUAGAGAAACUACAGGCUGAAGAACAGGUCGCCAAUCACUUGUAUGGACCCGAUCAGUUUUAGAAUGGGUCUCAUGAAAUAUAUGCUUUGAUCACCUCAGUGUAGUUGCAGACUAGGCCUGUCCUUGGGCAUGUAAUCCUUCCAUCAUUCUUCUUGGCCAUUUCCUCGAGAGCCUGCCAUCGCAAAAAGAACAGGGGUAAAGAUUUUAAGAACUCAAAAGAAAUAUAACAUAUAGAGUAUGGUGCAAACCUUAGUGCUGUACACAUAUCCAUUCGGCAAGACUAGUGGCGGAUUCUCAGUAUCCAUCAGUUCCUUGGUAAUGUAGCAAACAAGUUUUGAAUGAUGCUGCUUUGAAUAUGGAAGUGGAAGAGCUAAUUUACGGAAGCUCUCUUGUGAGAGAGGAUCCUCCUUUGUGCAAUCAUCUUCAUAACAGAAUCUAAAUCAGGUCAAGGAAAAAGUGGGGAUUCCGAAAAAUCACUCCACACAUGAAACACCAUAUUACAAGUUAAAUCAAUUAAUAUGGUGUCAAAGGAAAAAAGGAAAAGGAGACUAAACUAAGUUAAUUAUCUUUCUGACCCUCCAAGCAAGAUUGACAAGACAAAACCAUUAGAUCUGACAGUCUCAAGCAUUUAAAAAUUUUAUAUAUCAGGAGAAGAAUGGGAGAUAACUAUAGAAACCAGACGAGGAUACGGAGUUUUCAAAGCAGACAAGCCUGCUUGCAAAUAUAUGUUCAGCAAAGGCUCUAGUGUCAUGCCAUAUAACCUGCAGAACUCCUGCUUGAAUUGGUCGACUAGGUAGUCCCAUUGCUUUGCUUCAAAUAAAACCUGGAAAUUGCAAUAAAUAACAAAUGAAAUGAAACAAACAAUUACCCUCAUGUGGAACGAAGGCAAGCAAAAACCACUUCGUACAAAGACCCUAUUCAAUUACAUGCAAAUGGAGCAACUUUUGCAAUCAGAGGUCAAGAGUGUUUUUAUGCCCUCUGCAGUCCUUUCCCCUCUCCGAGUUCUUCCUCAAAAAGAGGGGAAAAGAAAAACAACAAAAAGGAAAAUUCAGGAAAAUUGAGGACAAGAGAAGAUAUUCACCUUGUAAGUUGGACAUUCAGUAUUACUUUUAAAAGCAAGUGUGGCCAUGACCCGCUGCAAUUCUUUCAUAUGGGUGGCUCCCCAUGGCGCUAGAUACUUGCGCGCAUACGUAAUUGCUCGCAUAUUGUUUUCAGCUCUUACCAACUCUAUAAAUUCUUGUAACCUCAACUGAAACUCAAAUUUGCUCUGCCAUGAAGAGAAUAAAAAGCUUAGUGCAUGAAAAUUACUCCAGUAAUCAAGUAACAAUUCAAUCAGAAUUCAACAUUAUACACAGCUACACAAAGAGAGGUAAACAGUGUAAAUAUCUUGUGAAUGAAAACCUUUUCUUUAAUAACAUAAAAAUAGCCAUUCUGCAUGAAUACUUCCUCUUUAAUUGAAACCUUAUAACCGUGACUUGACAAGCCUACAAUCUUAAGCUUCAUUAACAGUUGAUUGCAAUCGCAAUUUUCCAGCAUUAUCUAACUUCAUCAUCAUAGACCUGCUAACCAUACUUCAAUGUAAAUUCUCUCUCUCUCUCUCUCUCUCUCUCUCUCUCUUGACAGAGCAUCACAUUUUUCAGAGUAGUCCACUUUUUUAUUCUUUUUUAAGGAGUGUUCUGCAAAUUUUAUCCUCCAACUACCAAAUUCAUAAAGCAUUGAGAAAGUAGCAUUACCUAACCAUCAUCAUCAGUUUUACUAUCAGUGACAACACUAGACGCCAGAAAAUUAGCCUUCUCCACGUUAAAACUGGAAAAACAAAAUAAGGUUUCACUUUCAUGGUAUAGAAAGGCAAUAGGUUUCUGACAGAUUCUUUCACUUAAGGUUCAGAGUUUGCUUGUGUGACUGAUCUGUUUGCUUUUGAUGUGGAAGGUUGACCUUUAUGGCAUCUUCUGAAAGUUUGUCUGAUUAUCAUUUAGUCCAGAAUAUUAGAGACUGAAGUGUGAGGAAAUAUAUGCAGCUCUACAUAGAUGGAUGUUUUUAACAUAAUUCUGUGCGGGGAGGGGAAAUUUUACUUUCAAGAUUGACUUUUAAAAAUAUAUCCUAGCAAAUAUAUCUCAAGUUGCACAGGAAACUUGGCAUACUGAAUGAUGCAGUAUGAAGGUGUAUAUAGCUUUCUUGACUGCACAAGUAUUAUGGCCUGUAUGGUAUACUAUAAAAGUCCAUGUCACUUUAAGUCUGGAAGUAAAAGAUUCUUGUACUUAGUGCUGGAUGAAUUUUUAUGCUUAAGACAAUUGAAACAUUAUGAGCUAGCAAGCAAUCUGCUUACACUCAAGCAUACACUUGAAGUGAUGCUACGAAUAACCGCUUGUGACAGACCCAUCUUCCACCUCAAAAGCAAACAGAUCACUCACACAACCAAAAACUGAACCUUAAGCGAAAGAAUCUGCCAGAAACCUAUUGCCUUCUAUACCAAUAAGUAACACUUCUGAGCAUACUCAAGCAUACAUUUAAGGUGAUGCUCUGGAAAACCUCUUGUGACCAGGGGUCUAUCCUCCCCAUCAAAAGCAAACUAAUUACUCAUACAAUAGUCUACAAUGUGUGAUGAAAUAAUGUUAAAAGAUGCCAGUGCAUCAUCAUACUUCUAAGCUAGAUGAAAUUGUCUUUAUACACAAAUUUGUCAUAUUCCACCAUUAGUAAAGAAUAAUCAAGCAGAAUUGCACAAGAUAGAUGCUUUAAUUUUAUUUUUCUCACUACCUUUGUACAGGUCAAAAAAGAAUGCAUAGCAGGAAAAUAAUAAUAAUAACACAAAGUCUACAGACUACCACAUAGAAGAAGCACUGCAUGCAGUACUUUUUAGUCAUUCAAGUUUAUAUACGUGAAAUCUGAGAACUCACUAGAUUACAACAUGCUGUUUAGGAGACGAAACAGAAAGCAUUCAGACAGGUUCUUAAAGAGCCUUGCUAACAAAGAGACUCCAUUCUGAUAAAUGAGAUUACAGCAUAUAACCAACUUACGACAGCCAAUUAUAAUAUAUCACGUACUUUUGCAAGUUAAAAAGUAGUAAUUAUAAGCUUUAACCAUGCUGCAUAAUAUUCCAGAAACAACAUUCAGCACUGUACCAAGAAAGAAUUACUCCCAAGAGAAUUACAAUUAUAGAAUUGUGAACUUUGUUACUUGCUAUUCUAUUAGCUUUCCAUGAACCAUCAUGGAAGUUUCAUGCAAACAUUAGAGAGUUUGAAAGAUUGAAUUGCAUCAAAUAGUAGAAAAGCCGAUGGAUAUUACUGAAUCAAGGAAACCCAAUCCAAAACUUAAUGCAACUAACCGCUUAACUUCAAUUUUCAACAGUUUGUACAAGGAAUCAUCUGAUACCUUUGACUUCUUCAGUCUGGACUUGUUAUCAGCACACCAGGCAAGAGCAGGAGCCACCUCUUUGCUUUGAAGAGCUUCAAUGACUUUUUUUGCUUCGAAAAAGACAUCAAUAUCAACAAAAUCCUAACAGAAGGAGCGUGGUUAAUCAUCAUUUUCCAAUGUAUUUACAACACUUUCUACAGCAAAUUGCAAUGGGGAACACAAUAGCUUUACAUUAUAAUAAACUGAUCCCUCCCAAAAGAGGUGCAUUAAUGCCAAAGGGGAAAGAAUGAGAACUAACUAAGAUCAAUUGGAAGAUAAGUAAUAUGGAAAUCAGAAUAAAUGAGACACUUUUAUUGAUAAUUUCUAACUAAAUGGAGAAUAAGUCAAAAGCCUUAGAAGUCAAAGCACAACACACAGAUGCUUGCACCAAAUGCAUCUCAUAUGCAGCCAUGAAACAACAAAGUGAGUCAACCACAAGAUAUAUUGGUAUUUGCAUUAGGUGGUUCACAAUUAGCUACUUUGUGUCAUAAAAUAGCUGCACCCAAGAAGCUGAAGAUCAAAUAUUCAGAUCAAAGAACAAACUAAAGCAAACAAUUUUCCAGCAAAUGCAACAACACAUGCUGCAAAACAGGGCAAGCAGAAAUCACCUGAAUACUGCUGCUUCCUGCAAGCUUAAUAGCAGUGUCAUAAUAUGACAUGCGCAACAUGUAGUCAACCAGUAUCCGCUUCAGACGGAUAUUGUUCCAUUCCGAUAAAUUUUCUGCAUCAGCAGACUCCAAAUGGUCCAGUCGUGCUCGGCAUCUCUGCGCUUGCAAGUGCUCUGUUCUACUUCCUUCUUCCAACUAAUUAAUGAAGCCACAUGUAAUUAAAUCACGAGAAAUUCAAAAUUCAACAAUUCUGACACAUCAGACUCUGUAAUAAUUCGUCAACGGUGAUUUAUUUUUUCAUCCUAUAUGUUUAAUGCAGUUGACACUGACAAAAAGAGAAAUUAUUUACUAAGCUCCACAUAAUUGCAUUCGGAAAAAGAAGCUAAGUCAACAACAAAGAAAGAAACAAAUACAAAUCUCACAUUUUCCAGAUUAAACGCAGCAAAGAUUUUUCCUGACCUUUUACUACUUUCUACAAUUGAGAAUACAAAACUAUUGAAGGAUAGAAAUAAUCAGCUUCAGAUUUUACAUAUUUCAAAUUGAACUUAGAAAAAAAAUAUCCUUUGUGUUCCAACAUAAUUUUUGGUUAAUUUCUCCAACUUAAUGUAAAUUAGUUCUCUUAUAUCAUUGUAAUUGCAGUUUCCAAGGUAAUUAAAAUACCACUAAUUGGACUACCUUCCGCUUGAGUCCUUGUAAUCGAGAAACGAGUGAAUUAAGUUGCUGAACAGCAUCAUCACGGGAGAGUUCAGCGGAGUCGGCGGCUUCAGCGACGCCGGAUAUGACGGCGGAGACUUCUUUCUCAACGAUGCGGUGGUUAGCACGGAUCGUCUUCUUGUAGUGCUCGAAUGGGACACGAAGGAACUGGUGCUCGAGUUUUAGAGACUCCGCCAGUUGAGUUAGCUUAGAUGAUGGAAGCGCCGAGGCCGAAACGGCUCCGGCAGUAAUGGCGGCGGUGGGUGUGGCGGGGGCCGAGGUGGUGGAACCGGUGGUUGAGGAUGCAGAGCUGCCGUUGGGAAGCGCGUCCGUUUCCAUCUCCAUUUUUCCUGCAAAGAGGAUCUUUUUGGAUGAUUAUUUGGAUCAGAAUUUAGAAGCUGAUUGCUGUAGAGGGGAAGCGACCGAGCAGAUUGGGCAAAACGGGAAGAAAGGUCGUUUUCUAAUUUGUGCUGUGGCAAGUAGAAACGCUGUCGUGCGACUCUGUACACUUGUGCUUCACCUGUGAUUUUGGGCUUGCAAAGUGGAGAUUGCUACCUUCAAGUCUGACAAUUAUUCCCCAUGGACAUUUGGCCCAUUUGGUGUGAACGCAAUGGACAAAAUAUGUGGGGCUACAUCAUGGUAUCCCUUUGCUUUAGUUGUCUGACAUAUCCUAUUCGGCACUUGAGUUUUUGAAUUUUUUUUUUUUUUUUUUGGUAAAAAUCACCCAUCUACAAUAAUAUCUAUUUAGGGUUGCAAACAAGUCGAGUGAAUUGAACUUUAGACUAAUUGAACCGAAUCUCGACUUAAUUUUAUCAAACUCGAAUUCGAGUUCGAGUUUGACGAACUGCCAAUUUAAAGCUCGAGCUCGAAAAAAUAAAAAAUAAUUAUUUUUAUUUUUUAAAAAAAAUAAAUAAUAUAAUAUUUUUUCUUAAUAAAUAAUAAAAUAUUAGGGAUAUAUAUGUAAUUUUACUAUUAAAAUAAAAAAUAAAUAUAUCUAUAUACUCGAGCUCGCGAGCUAACGAUCUUAAUAUUUUGAACUCGAUAUUUUGACCAACUCGAGUUCGACUCAAACUGCUCGCAAGCGGUUCGGUGAGUUUGCAAACCUAUUUAUACUAUAUAUAAAACUUAAGGAAGGGAUUUGGGAUUAAUAUUGGGGUUAACAUUUAUCGUCACAUUAUAAAUUUACUUUUUUGCUCUUAUAAAAACUAGUUUUUAUUUUAACUACCUAUAACUAUCCAUUACUAUUUUUACUUUUAACUAUUUAAGUAUAUGUUUUCAACAUAACUACUAAUAUAAAAUUAUUUUAUGAAAAUUAUUUAAAAGAUUAGAGUUUGUUUCAGUAAUAAAAAUUUUAUUUAAAAUAUAUGACCAUAAAUAUUAUGUAAUUUUGAGCACUAGUUCUAAUAAAGUAUUUGGACUCGUAUAAAUUAGGUAUUUUGAAACAUUUUUUUUAGAAUUUUACAGUAGAUGUAUUUGUAUGUUAUGUUUUGGAUUAACCUUCUAUACACUAACAACGUAUAUGCUAUUACGGUUGGAUACAUGAUAUGUAUAUAGAAUUGAGAUUUCAAAUUUAAAUUCAAAUUAUGUGUCAUGUAUUAAAUGAUGAUAGUGUAUACACUAUCAAUAUAUAUAAUAUUAACACUUAUAUUGUUUAGUGUUUUUAAAAUUUUAAUUUUUUUGGGCCUUCUUAAAAAUUUUAAAGAGUAUUUUUCUCCCGUCAACCUCCCACUAGGCCCUUUUCAAACCACCUCUUCCCCACCGCCACCUUCUCCUCGCAAAUAAAGGGGAAAAGGAAGGGAAGGGAAUGGAGUAGAGGAGAAGGGAAGGAAAAAGAGGAAAAAGGAGGAGGAGCUAAGGGAAAAAAAAAAAAGAAGAGAGAAAGAGGUGACAGACGAUAAAUGGUGGUGGGGGAGGUGGCUGCCAUUUGGUGGAAGGAAGAGGAUGGGGGAGGUUGGGAAAUGGUGGUGGAGGGAAAGAAUGUCAAAAUGUGUUGAAGGAAGGUUGGCUAUUUUUUCAAGUUAUUUUUUUUGUUUUUUAUUUAUAACGUUUGGUUUGUGUAUGAGAUGUAUUUGGAGCAUUUUUUGGAUCUAUUACUUGUAUUUGAAAAAUUAGUAGUCUUUUGUGAGAAACUCCCCUCCCUACCAAGAUUUAAGUUUUAAAAAAAUCACACCAAAAAAAAUACCCUCCCCUCCCAUUCAUCUCUAAAACACAAAUUCUACUUAUGUUCCGGCUGAAAUAAGAAAAGAGACAUUAAACCCACAUUCAAUCACCUUGACUUGGUUUUUUGCCACCUAUGUGAGAGAACGAAGGCUUGACAAGCUAGAAAAUCAAAUUCAAUGGUAAAACUACCAAGGAAAUUCUUGGUUUUCCACUGAAAUUAGAUUAAACCAGAUACCUGUUUGUUCCAAAAACCAUAUUUUACAGGUUCACGGGCAGCAGCAGCAGGAGGCUUGUCAGCCACUUUCUCUUCUGAUAUAGGUUCCCACCUACUUUUGGAUCGUCUACUAGGACUUCUGCCUUUUGGUAAUGAAGAAAUGGGAGGUGAGAACAGUAUAUGUCUGCAUUCAACGAGACAAAAUGAAGUCAAUCUUUACUCCACAACUACACUCUUUUCAUUCUUGUAAUGCUAAAGGAUCAAAAUUGCAUUAAAUUAUUUAGCAUCUUUUAAAAUCUAACAUAAAGAAAAAGGGGGGGUUCCAUUGACCAGUGCCAAGAACAAAAAUACCAAAGGAAUAACUUCACAAAAUAUCACAUUUAAGACAGUUUUCCUCAUAUACGACUUAUAGCCAAAAGAAAAAAGUAUUGGGACCAAGGAAAUUGAAGUAUUGGGAGCUUCCACACUCAAAACACCUGAAUCAAGAUUUACAUGUGGUAAUUCUUGUUGAUGAGUACUUAUAUUAAUAACAAUGUCAGCAUUUACAAAAGAAAAGUAUGUUGCCUUACAUAUCUCAACAAAUUGUGUUGGGCAUGUGACACACUAUUAACAAGAUCAUAAGAUGUUGAAUGUUUUCUUCUUAUUUAUCAUGGAUGCUCAAGGUAGAAAGCAGAAGGGAGGAAGGGGGCAGAGAGAGGAAGAGGGAGAUACUCUUGAUUAGCAGCAUCUGCAUUCGGCAGGGGGAAAAGAGGCUCUGUAUCCCAAUCUCUUGUAUGUAGAGUACCAUCAGCGGUUGCCUUCAUGAUAAUCUAACAAGUGCAGUAACAUAUAAGAGAUAAGUAAACAGCACAAGAGAAAAGUAGAAACAAAGAACUGCAUUGUAACAAACAAAAUGCAUAACAAAAAAUAAAACUUAAACAAUUGGCAGCUGUAGUAAACUGUGAAUGACAUAGAACUAAGAUUUCCAUGAAAAGGUGAAAGCAGAAGUCUUCCCACAUCAUAAGUAAACUCUGUAACCAGAAACCAGCAUAUACAGGAGUACACAUACUAACGCCAACAGCAAUCCAACAGUAUGUGCAAUAUGAACAAGUCAACUUUGCAAAUGAACUCUAAACUUAUACACACGCACGAGAGAGAGAGAGAGCAAUUUAUGGCAUUUACCAAAGAAAACAAAAGAAGGAAAAGGAUAAAUUGAAGUUGGUAGUUGAUCUCCAUCUAUCACAUCUGACAAAAAAAUAUUAAAACAGAAAUACAAUUCACACAAAAGCACAUACUUUCUUCACCAGAUGACUAUAAUUUAGAACCUAUGAAGAUUGGCACAGAAAGAUCAAAAACCACUGCUCCCUAAUCCAUUCGAGAUGACUCGAGGAUUUUUUGCAGUUUGUCUACUACCAAAUAUGGACUUCCCUAAUGACACAGCAAAAGCAACAUCAGUACACUUUGCUUACCUCUUUCAUGACAGCUUGAGAAGCCACCAUUUGUGCAUCACCAUUGCAGCGAGCCAAAGCCCUUUCGACAUAACCACACAGUGACUUUGGAAACAUGCCAGGCUACAAAUAACAAAAAUAGAGAUCAAUUUAAAAAUAAAAAAUAAAACAUGGAGAUCAGUUAAUAUAAUAAUGCCACCCACAGAUACUGUAAACAUGAACAUGCAUUCAAAAUGCAGAAACUGAAUGCACAUUCAUAGAAACUACAAAAUAAGUCAAAUUUGAACUCGUAUGAUGCUAGACGUUCAAGAGCCCAACAAAUGGGUUCAGUAAGUUCGAUGGCAACCUCAAUACUACAACCAUAAGGUGAACCAAAACUCAUCUAAAAAGGUUAAAUACAAAAUUUGACUAACUAGAUAUAGGAGGAAGAGGACUAGUAAGAUGUCCACCUAAGAAAUAUGAUAUCAAAAUUAACAAGUGCCUAACUAGAAGUACACAUCAACAUUGCAGAGCAGAAGAAACAAGCCAAGACUGCCUACUGACAUCUUUGCGUAAAAUAAGUCCAGUGGUAUUUGCUCAAAAAGGGGACACCUUUUGCCUUUUGCAACUAAAAAGUAAAUCAGCUACAAUUGAAAUGGAAAUUCAAAGUCCAACACCACUCCAUAACUUUAGAAGGAGGUCAAGCAACAGUGGAAUUCCAAACAAGUAAAAAAGACAAACACAUAAACCUAUGUACAGAUAAAGCUAGUUCAUAGGAUGAUCUUUAGAUAGUUACAAUAUUUCAAGUGCCUAAAAUGCAGCAGUAAAAUAUAAAUCUGAUUGAACAUGAAACCAUAUAUCAAGUGUACAGUUUAGAAAUGUAUUUAUGCCACAGGAAAUGAGAAAUUAUAAAUGACCACCAGAGGGAAGCAAAUUGUACCUUUAGUAUAGAAUCAGCAGCAUCUUCAGAUGGCACUUUCUCAUUUGGCUUUGUCAGUGAAACACUAAUGUAGGCAGGCUUUGAAGCUGCAGUGCUUGCAGAAAUAUCCUUCUCUACUUUUGGAAAACCCAAGCCCAAAUUUGAAGCAAUUCUAGGAUUUGUAGGAAUCUGCAAUUUGCUGCUUGCCCUGCGCGAAUCAAGCUGUGGAGCAAUUUGUGAAACAGUUUGUAAAGAUGACUGAUAACUUUGGGGAACCUGAUGCGUAGCUGUAUACACUAAGUUAUGUCCUUGAGAAUGUGCGUGAUUUUGCUGAUUCUGGAAGCUUUCAUAUGUGGAACUUGUCUCUAAAGGCAUUUGAACAUGUUGCACUGAAUUCAAAUUUUGAUUUUGAAAAACUGCAGGUGCAGGCUUCCAAUGCCCAUCAUGAACACCACCAUUCACUGUACCAGACUGGAAAGGGAAAAGCAGUGCAUAAGCAAUCACGUUAUUAAUCAACCAAAACAUGAUGCUGGCAUUGCUUCAUUAUAUCACCAGUGAACAUAUGACACAAGUAAACAGGUACCAAAACCAUGAAGGACACAUGAACAAGUAAAAAUUCACACAUAAAGAAGAAACAGAUAUUCUCUGAACAUUCGAAGCACUGUCACAGAGAUAUGUGAUUGCAGCAAAUUUAAACCAGGAAUGGUGAAUUCUAUCCACACCCCAGAACCAAAUUCUAAAGAAUAUUGUUAGUAGAAACUUAGACAGGAAAGAAUAUGCCUAGAUUAAUAGGCCAAACCUAGUUCCUGAAAAUGCACACUUCAACGUCCGUAAUUCAUGAAAGUUGCACAUGAAAGUAAAUGCUUAACCUUGUACUAAAUGUGAAUUCUAUCAUUGAACGUAAAAAUAUCAACUAUCAGUGAACACAUUCAAUAGGAGGGACAAAAAACCUGUGCCGCAGGUAAUUCAGAAGAUGUAGAUUCCGGCCUCCAGGACGUAAUAUAAGGUGCAGAGGCUUGACUAUUUGCUGCUGGAUACCCACCAGGGACAGAACUCAGACUAGGUGCACCAGAAGCAGAAACAUUUUCUGUCCCUGGAGCACAGCUGACUUCUGUUUGUGUUUGAUUGUAAUAGUCAGCCCAUUGCUUAUAAUGAUGUGCAUACUGUGAAGAUGCAGCACUAGGAGUGGAACUGUACAAUGUAGUCGAGUCUGGGGUGUAGUUGGGAUAUUGAGAAGAGUAUGUUGCGUACUGUCCUUCUUGCCAAUAAUUGGUCUGGUUGCUAUAAACACCACUCUGAUAACCUCCGGCUGUCUGAUAAUCAGCAGGAUUGUAGUAAGUGCUUGAAUAACUUGCAGACCCAGCAUAAGACCCAGUAUUCUGAAAUGAGGAAAGAGGCUGAUAAGGAGCACCUGAGUUUUGGUAUGCUCCUACAGGAGGUUGAUAUGGUUGACUUGUUUGCUGCUGAUAAUUAUUAUAGUAAGAUGCAUAUCCUGUAUUUCCAUAUCCAUACGGAUCUGUAUUCUGGUAGGUUGAAUAACUAUUGUAAUCGUGUUGUACAUUUACUGCCCCAGAAGUUGAAGUGGAUACAACAGGUGCCCCAUUUAAUCCAUCUUGGACACUCCUUGAGGUUAAUUCUGCUUGUUGGUCAUGAUGAUAAGUGGAAGUAGAAACGGUUCCAUUCUCCCUAGGAUAAUUAUUUGCCCCAUGGGUGGUCCAUGAUAUUGGUGCAGAGCUAGUUGAGGCAUAGUAAGAGGAUGCAUGUGCUUGACUUGGAUCAAUGACUGGAUACUUCUGGAAAACAAGGAUAAAUUUGUUUUUAGAUACAAGAAACACAUUUUCAAAAAAUUCUUUUUCCCAGUUUUCUUUUGAUAAAAGUGCAUCAAUUACAAAUAUAAUCUGCAUUUACAACAUGACACAUAACAGGUAGAGGAAGAAAGCAAGAAAACAAAACAAAAAGGAUACAAAACAAGAAACCCAGAAGCCACCAAGAAAAUCUUAGAUAUAAAUAUAGAGGUAAUCCACAUCAACUUCCCAAAGAAGAUUAUAAUGUAAUAUGUUUCAUAUACUACAGUAGUAACAACCAUACGAAUAGUAAUAAAAUAUAGACACUUUCCCAUUCAACAAAGGCUGAAGCCUGUGAAUAAUAGUCUCACUGAAUUAAAUAUGUACUAUGGUUUAUUUUUUACAAAUGUAAAUCCUGAAUGGAACUUAGAAAGAUAAUUCUACUGUGGAAGAUCUAAAACUACAGUGUAACAUUUAACUUUAGAUUUUGAGAGCCUAAAGAUCAUAAAUUAUGCAUAGCAGGAGUCAACAAACCAUGAGUUCAAAUCUGCAUUGUUUUCUUAGAGAUAUACAGGGUGAGAAACACUUCCAUCAUGAAGUUAGAGAAAUUUUAACGAGAGAAUAUAUCAUAUUCGAAAGUUGUGUUAGAGAAGAUCACAACUGUGCAACUUUCACAAUUUCAUCCUCUAGUUUCAACUUAGAAACUGUUUAAUGGCCCAUUUUGUUAUUGUAGAUGGUUUCAAGUAAGGGCUCUGCCUUUCAGUCCAAUUCUUCCAAAUUCUCAAAUAUAAAACAAUGGGCUUCACAAACAUCUAGAACCCAUUUAUUUCUCUCAAUUGUCACACUAAAAAGCUCUACAACAAAUUAACAUAAAAUUUUUCUCUCCAUAUCAUUAUCUGGUUCGCACUUAACUCAACCAAAAUAGGCCUUUGUACAGGUGAUCGUUAUGACAAUUAAAAGAACUGGUUCAAUCAAUUUAAACAACAAUGAGAAACAGCAACUAACUAGUGAAGAACAAGGCAGCACAAAGCACAAAGAAAAUCCUCUGCACAUACAGAAUAAGACAAGAACUUUUAGCCCACGCCAAUCCACUUCGAAUCUCAUGUUAACACAACAAACACAUCUAUCACAAACUCGUAAUGAUGGACACUAUGCUUAUGAGUAUGUUUUAGGGUUUGCAAUCCUUAUGCAACUAGCUAAGAAGAAAAAUUAGCAGCUUCCAUUUAGUUUACUCAAAAAAAAAAAGAAACGCUAUAGAACAAUGACCAGAGAAAGCAGAAAUGAAAGAGAAAGGGUGCUUUCUCACUCAAACUUACUGCCAGCAAUACAAGUGAUGACAUAGUACUGAGUAACGAUGCCAGCAAGCCAGGUUUUCAUACAUAUUAGAACAUAAAUCCUGGAUUUUGCAGAAAAAUCCAACUGGAUAAUUUAUGGAAUCUUAGUUCCCCAACCCCAGCACAAACAAAAAACUUUGAGGGUGUAUUCUUAAAACUCGCAUCAACGUUCGCCAUUUUUACUCAAAUGAAACUGACGAGAAUCACGUCCAAUGCCACUCAAUAAACCCCAAAACCAUUCCAUAAGCUUGCUAGAACCAGAUAGUGCACAAAUUAGUACCUAAUUUCUUGUUUCCUAACUCAAGCUAGCAACGAGAAGUUCAUAUCUCAAACAAAAGCAGCUAAAUCCUGCCUAAUCCAAUGUUCAACCUUUAGAAACAACCCAUCCUAAUGCUCAUUAAGCAGCUCUUUUUACAAUUUUACCUUCUACCUGAUAACACCGAGCAACAUCUUCAACAUAAAAUGGUUUAUAUUAUUCAACCAUAAAAUACAAAAGAUUUGGUUAGUUACCUCGACGGAAUUGGUGCCCAGUGUUGUUAGAGUAUCAGUAGUCCCUCCUUGAUUCAUCCUCGUCAAACUAACAUGCUGCAAAUUUUACCUAACAACGGUUACUAAACAAUUUAUUAUCAACAAAUUCAAACAAAUCGCAAAAUCCUACCCGAUUCAACGAACUCAAGGGCUCAAACUUUCAGAGGAGACGGUAAAAAUAGCUCCAAAACCUAAAUUGCGUCAAACGCAGAAUCAAGAAAAGGACCAAAAUUAUCGACAGAAAAGCAGAAAACAAUCAGCUGGGACAGAAUUUUAAAAAAAAAAAAGUGCAAAUAGGUUGGAAAACCAAUUUGACUAGGUUGUCAAAAUAACCCAGAUAGGAACGACGUCGCGUAGGUAGUGCUUUAUAUAGUCUAAAACGGACCCACAACCUUGGACCGACCCAGUAUCAAACCGGGCUAAGUUGGCCCUUUACCUUCACGAUGUUCAAAAUCUAGAAGGAAUCCAUCCAGUGCACGUUAAACAGCUAUUUAAUGUUUUAACACCGACCAUAUAAUACAGACAUAAUGGGUUAAUUACCUCGACGGAUUUGAAGCCGAGUGUUCCUAGAGUAUCACAAGAGUAGUCUAGACUCUAGAGCUGUGGACAAACUGAGUAUAUCAUGUUUGAAUCUUAUUCGUUAAGUUAUUUGAAUCAGACUCGUGUUCGUUUGAAAAUUUUCGAUUCAGAAUCUCUGUUCAUGUACGUAUUCAGCUAGUUAAUUAAAAUUUUAAUUUAAGUUCGAUCGUUUAACAUAGAUGAACCAAUUUUGUAUAGCCUCGACAAGUUUGAAUUCAGGCUCAAUACUAAACUUACUAUUUAAUCCCAAAUUUUGUGAAAUGACAAUCGAGCACAUGUUCGCGAACGAGGUAAUAACAAAUUGCACUACCGCUAGUCGAAAAGGUUUAAGAGAUAAUAACAAAUUGCUAGGUGGUUGUGAGCACUAAGUAAUAUUAUAUACAUUCUUGACUCACUAAUACCUAUCGUUAUAAGAGGAUGAGUAUACACUGAAAUUAUACUCUUAAUGAAGUGUAAAUAUUUACAUAAUGUUUAAUGCUGUAAAUUUUGAAAGUAUCUUCACUUUAUGAUUCUCGAAGUCAUGCCACUUCUAACAAAAGUUGGAUUUGCUUUUGUUUAUGAUCAUGACUCUAGGAUGGAGCAUAUGGCUGCUAAAGUUGGAUGUGCGUAAUAUAUCUAACCUAAUUUUUAAAUUAUAGUUUAAUGCUAUAUGCAACUUUAAUUUGGUUAGAUUUGGUGAUGUACUUACACUAAAAGAAAAGUUUAAAUCUAACUAUUCUUUUCUUUAAGGAUUGUUUUUAUGUGCUAGUUUGUUUAUUUCGUUCACAAAAUAAGUGGGAAAUUGUUGAGAUAGUUCGUAAAAUAAAAUAGAAAUAAACAUUGUCAUAACAGAGAAACUAGAAAGUUUUUGAACGUUUUUGUCAUAAUCUUAAGGGUCUAUUGGAAGUUAGAAAGUUUUUGAAACAUUUUUUUUUUCAUUUUCUAUCAAUUGAAGGAACUUAAGUGAUGCUUCUUGAUAUACACAAAUGUCAUAAACAUAUGAGAAAGUGGGUGAUCAAUUUACGACAUUUGUGUCGUCUUUUUAAUAUAAAAAUGACAAGUUUCUAACAAAUCAACUAACUAGAAUCAUUAUAUUUUCUUUGUAGGAGGAAGUUUGACAUUUGCUAUCUUUUCUUUUAACAUUUCACCUCUCAACUUGAAAGAUAUUUUCUCAAAAUAUUUGGUUUGCAAUCUUAUUAAAAUAUCUAUUAAUAUUAUUAGUCACCUCAUCCUUUUUAGACUAAGAUGGUGAAAAAUUCAUAUAAAAAUAGUUGUUAAAAGAUUCAGUUCAAAAAACUUACCAACCUAAUUUUAGAAGGUAUCAAAUUUGUAGAUAAAAACAAUAAGAAUAGUAUCUCAUCUAUUGUUGAGAUCAAGAAAAAUAGAAACAGACCAAAUUGAUAAAAUAGGCGAAAUUCUUGAAAAAUUUUUUUAAAAAAAAAGAAGGGAAAAAAUUACUCUCUCUUUUUUCAUUUGUUAUAAAUGCUCUAUCUUUUUACAUGUACACAAUAGAACUAGACAAAUUUUUUUGCAUCAGUUAAAACAAAACUAGAGAAUUUCCAAAAUCUAAAUUCCAUUGAAUAGAGAAAACAAUGAAACCAAAAUUUAAGCAUGCUACAAAAACACUUUUGCUCAAAAUCGAAGCACAUAACCUGUUGUUAGGUUUUGCCGGUACUAGAUUUUUGUACAACAUGUCUACCAAGCUACUAGAGGAAGUGGAAACUAAUCUACUAGAACAUAUCUCCUCCAUCAUUGGUAAAUCAAUCCAUGUUAUUUUGCUACUAUUUUUGGUAAAUUCACUUUGGUAAAUUCACUUUGGUGAGCGUCUUGUGUUGUCGACUCAGUACCUUGUAGACCUUGGGUCUAAAUAUGGAUCAAGUAUCUUAGAAGCUGAAGAUGGGAGUAAAACUCGAUCAUUUAUGAAUCAUUUCGAGGCAAUGCCAUGGGCUAUGAUGGAUGGAGGGUUGGUGUUGCGAGAUGACUAUAGGAUGAGAAAACUGGUAUGUUUAUUAUAUUAUUAUUAUUAUUAUUUGGAAAAUAAUUUUCACAAAAUAGGACAAAAUGAACAAAACUUCAAUCUAAAGAGCUAUAGCUAUUGGACAGCCACAAUGCAAAAAUUCAUUUCAAUCAUUUAUUUUUGUUUCAAUUGGAGAAAUGUCAUUUUUAUUCUUAUCGUACAAAAAUCACAACCCAUGAUCAUUGAAUAUCUUAUAUAAUAGAAAUUUGAUUGAAACUUGGUGUAUAGUAUACUUCCUGGCAAAAAUUACUUUACCAUAUUGUUUCAUGUACUUAACAUCAUCUCUUAUCCUGAUAUCUGGUUUUAGAUAUAUGAUUUUUUUUGCAUCUUAUCUUCAUAUUUUGUUUCAAUACUUUCUUUUUUCCUUUGAUAUUCCAUCCAAAGACUUAUUACAAUCUUUUGUUAAAGCUUAUUACUCCUCAUACUAUAUCACAAAAAUUAAGUAAGAAAUUUCACCUCUCAACCUGAAAGAUAUUUUCUCAAAAUAUUUGGUUUGCAAUCUUAUUAAAAUAUCUAUUAAUAUUAUUAGUCACCUCAUCCUUGUUAGAUUAAGAUGAUGAAAAAUUCAUAUAAAAAUAGUUGUUAAAAAAUUCAGUUCAAAAAACUUACCAACCUAAUUUCAGAAGGUAUCGGAUUUGUAGAUAAAAACAAUAAGAAUAGUAACUCAUCUAUUGCUAAGAUCAAGAAAAAUAGAAACAAACGAAAUUGAUAAAAGAGGCGAAAUUUUUGAUAAUUUUUUUAAAAAAAGAGAAGGGAAAAAAUUAUUCUCUCUUUUUUCAUUUGUUAUAAAUGCUCCAUAUUUUUACAUCUACACAAUAGAACUAGACAAAUUUUUUUCAUCAGCUAAAACAAAACUAGAGAAUUUCCAAAAUAUAAAUUCCAUUGAAUAGAGAAAACAAUGAAACCAAAAUUUAAGCAUGCUACAAAAACACUUUUGCUCAAAAUCGAAGCACAUAACCUGCUGUUAGGUUUUGCCGGUACUAGAUUUUUGUACAACAUAUCUACCAAGCUACUAGAGGGAGUGCAAACUAAUCUACUCGAACAUAUCUCCUCCAUCAUUGGUGAAUCAAUCCAAAACACGUAAAAAAUCUCUGAAGGUGAAAACGUCAAAAUAAAAUAAAAUAUACUUAUUAGAACAACGUCGUAGGUUGGCUCCCGACCUCACCCUUUCCCAUCUAGCCAUUUUUUAUCUCAAUUCCACCGUUUUAAUUCCACUUCAAUUGUGUCCCUAUAUAUAGUCUCUGUUUUCAUCUCCACAACAGAAUCAGAGAAUUUUUUCAUCACACAAUAUAAAACUAUAUACAACACACAACUAAGAGACAAUUUCCACAAUCAAAACAAUGAAUCCUACCUUUAAACACACUGCAAAGUCAUUUUUUCUCAAACUCGAUACCUAAUGUGGAGGUCGGCUCUGCCGGUGCUGGUCUUCUGUACAACUUGUCAAGCCGCCAGCUGGAGGCGACAUAAUCUAAUCUAUUUGAAGCUAUCAGAAAGUCUGAGUCUCCUCCAGCACCGGCAAAACAAUGCACGUCAGUUUCUACUAGUUUCUAGUAAUUUGCACUUUUACUUUAUUUUUGUUUGCUGAAGAGAAAAUGCCUAAUUCAGUUAUUCGACAUUUUUGUUUAAGUCAAUUUCAGUCCUCAAAUCUUUUACUUUGGAUUUUUUAGUCUCUUAAUUUAAAUUUAGUGGCCAUUUAUAUCCUUUCACGGUGGCGCUACCAAUUAGUUUGUUUCCGGCACAAAAAUGACCACUAAGUUAGGGGCAAAAGAGGAAUUACAAGCUAGGAUUAUUCUUAAAACAAAAUAAAAGUUUUUCUAUUAAACAAGGACACGUUCUUCAAUGAAGUUUUUUCUAUUGCGUUUACUUAUUCAAUGUCACAAUCCCAAUUUUCUUCAAUCAUAGUCUAAAUCAUACUUCAUUUUUUUCUUCAAUUAUUAGAUUGCGUCUUCUUCAUACUUACGAAAUUUAUGUUAACUGCUUAUUCAACAAUCUUACACAAUCAAGAGCUUCCCUUCGACAUACUCUCCUUCUCCUUUCUCCCUUCAAAUUGUUUGAAAGCAUUUUUACUUGGACUGAAUAAACUUGAUAUUUGGAUGUUUUGUUGUGAUGUUAGUUAAAUUUAUUUGUUAAUUUGGCUGUAACAAAUGUAAUUGAGGCAAAAUUACUUUGAUUGGAAAUAAUUUGCAUUCGAUAACAUUAUAAUUUGACAAAAAAAAUGGCCAUAUUUCUUUAUGACUAUCUCAUGUUUGAUUAAAUGCUUUAUAUACUUUAACUUUGAAAUUACUGAGUGAGAUGUAUGGCUCUGUUUGGAUCCUUCAGUUUUUUCAAAAACUAAUUUUUCAAAAACUAUAAAAAAUUUUAAAAAGUAUUUUGAAAGGUACUCUAAAAAGUAGUCUAAAUUUUUUUAAUAUUUAAAAAAUAUCCCAAAAUAUAUUUUAAAAACUCUACUACUCUUAAAUAUUUCAAAAUAUUUUCUAAAAAUAUCCCAAAAUAUACUCUAAAACUCUGUUACAGUAAAAUUUUUCAAAAACACCUCCAAAAACAGCUAAUCCAAACAGUUUUGCAACUAGAAUAUAAACGUCCAUGGCCAGCUCUGCCAUUAGCUAGCGAAUAAGAGCAUUUUUCUAUUUUAUUAAUUUGAGAACGAAAUUAGUUUAAGUAAAAUUAUUGAAAGUCUAAGCCAUUUUUCCAUUUUAUUAAUUUGCUUAUAUUUGGUUGUGAUUUUAGGGGUUAGACAGACUACUUAGAGGUUCACCCUCCGAAUGGGUGCAAGAGCGUUUUGGUAACCGAAGAAAUUGCUUUUAUUUUUUCAGUAGUGGUUUCUUUUAGUUUUUUUUUUUUAGCUUUUCAUCUUAACAUUAAUAUGGGAUUUAUUAAUUUAAUUUAUUGUAGAAACCUGACGGCAAUUUCAUCCUUAUUUUCCCUCCUGAUACCGAUGUGCACUCUGCACCCCCUGAGGUACGCAAAAUGCUUUACUACGAAUUUAUAGUCUUGUAGUUACCCUAAUUCAUUAUUGUGUAUCAUCGCAGAUUGUCGUUUGUUCUAGCACCUCCUCGUGACCGGCCAUCAGCCUAUACAUUCCUGAUUUCCGAACCUUUUGUAUCAUAAUGCUGUCUCGCGACUCAGAUUUACUAGUCAUGCUCGGAUUAGCCGAAUACCUUUGUAACUAAUAUUGCAGAUAUUUGAACCUAAAGGCCCAAUAAGUAGUUGCCAAACGGAUAUGGCAUUGUUGAAAAUCUACAUACUUCCUUUUUACUUCAAAGAUAGUACUAGUAUUUUCGAAACUAUCAGAAAUCAAAUUACUGGUAGACAAUUAUGUGACCCGCCCAUUGGCAUCCACAAUUUAGUCAAAUAAUAAAGAGGCAGGAAAACUCAUUUAACUAAAUAACCGGUUGGAACGACGUCGGGUAAGUGGUGCUUCACGUCACCGGCGAGAACAGACCCAAUUGGCUUUAGACGCUAGUCCUAGUUAUUUGAAUCUUUAAUAGUAUUCAGUACGUUUUAUAAACAGUUUUGCAUAAAGAAAAACAGACCCAUGUGGGCUCAAAUCAAUAAUGAGCUCAAAAUUCACCGUUGAUCAUUUGAGACUUGGAUCUGUGACUGCCAAACCUACUUACCCCCAAUGACUAAGGCACAGAGCUUUCGAGUUUGGUUACAACUUGUGGUUAACCGGCCUUCAUCAUCAGCACGAGAAUCCUUUCUGCCCUCUAUGUUCAUGUUCUUCUCAUCGCUCGGUUUAGGUGCAUACUUUUUCUAUUUAGGUGCAUUACUCUGCAGUCUCUAGGUACACAUUUAUGCCGACUUUUCAACGUAAGCUUUCCAGUUGGGUAAAAAUUUCUUCUUAUACCCUUAACUUCCUAAAACCAGUAAGGUGUAUUUGCCUAUCACCACAGAAGUAAGGUGUGUUUGCCUAUCACCACAGAGGACAUCAGCCAAAGCAUUAGUGCUAUUCUUUGAGCAUUUCAUGUUGUACGACAUCCUGGAAACCACUUUCAAUAAUCUUGGCAAUGUACUAAAUUCUUAACUAAACCCCGCUGAUAAAAAAUGGACAAUCUUCAGAACUUUUGCUUAAAGACCUUGAAGAAAUUUGAAGAUCUUUCAGGUUUCUUCUCCGUGUUCAUUUCUAAUUUUUAACUUGGGCGGUGGAGGGCUAAGAGCCAUCAACAUGCGGUAAAAAGUACUAGUUGAGAAAAAUUAUGCUCUCUCAUUGAGUCCCCAUCUUAUUACACUCUCUAUCUAACCUUCCGUCGUGGAAUUUGAGAAUUCAAACACGUUACUAGUGCAAGUUAAAAGGCGUCAACACCUUUUGCUGGGAAAUCCAGCUCGUUGCCAUAGCAAACCUUAGCUGUCUCCCGUGGCAAAUCCCAAGAUAUGAACACAACGUUGUGUUGCCUUGAGAAAAGAGUCCAUGUGAAAUGGCAAGAACCCGGAUCAAAAAUUAAAUGCGCACAGAAAGCAUCACAAGACAAAAAGACCAAAGUCCUUGAGCCUUGUCUCGCCCCACCCAAGCACCAGAAAUUUAUCUACCUUCUGUAAGGCUGAGAGAACGCUUCGGCCUCAGUAAAAACUAGUUACAAGGGCUGAAAAUUUCAGCUGACACAUUCCUUGACCUGAAACCAUAGGCAAUUCUACCAUCCACCAAUAACUUAGGUGAUAUUUUGCAUAAAAAGCUGAGGGAAAUGGUUGUUCGACAUAUUUACGUAUCCGGUUUUAAUAGCAACCAGCUAGCAUUUUGCCCGAAAUCGUUCAAGCUUGUAGAGUACUCCACUCUGUAACAGUGAAAUUCUAUGUCGAAGGGCCUGCAAAGUAAAACCUAAAUAGCAACUAUACAUCCAUAGCAGUACCUAAAUCCGGCAUUUAGUGUUCUCCAUCUGCUCUCUUCCCCUUGACAGAAAAAAUGAGCCAUAGACUUUGAUGAACACAAAUGCUUAAAAUAGCUAUAGAGACAGUAUAAAGGAUUCAAUAUCAUCUUAUACCAUCCUGCAUCACCAUCAACGUGAUAAGCAUUCAACGAUUCCGUUUGCAUCCAUUUCAUGUCAGGACAUGAAAUAUCAAUCUCUGCAGAGAAACACACAGCUCUAGUUAUAACCUUGACACAUAUAUCAUAGUUGACAAAAGUGCCUUCCGCUGGUCGCAUUCAUCAGCAUGAACUUUAAACAUCUCAAUCUAGCAAUUCAACUAAUGUAAUGCUGGUAAACAAUCCAAGUCCCUGCCCAGUGAUAAAGCAUAGGAGUUCAUGCAAUCAAAUUUUCAUGUCAAGCAUUCUUGCGAAUCCCCAAAGUCCAUUACGCACCAUGGUUUUCAUGCCUGCCCUAAGCAGCAGGAAUUCAGCCAUGAAGAUGCCUGUUUCCAGUACAUUGAAGAACUGUGUCAAAAUCUCCUCCUUUUAUAUCCGGACCCUUCAUUGAACCCAUCAUCAUGCCAUACCUGCCCACUCUCCCUGUAAUUUCCUUCUUGAUCCUCGAUAGUUCGAAUUCGUCUAGGAGCAGCAACAGGUCGACCUUUCAUCCGCCCAUCAAACUCCCUUUCUCUGAUGCCCCUUCCAACAAAAUCUGCAUCACCUUCAGAACAAAAUCUGAAAGGCCUGGGACCAUCGUCCAGUUGGAACCGAAGAUUAUCACUGUCACUAAUGUAUGGAGGUCUAAAAGAACGAAUCAAUCCCCGGCUUUCACCACACUUUCUUCUCUCCUCACUACUUCCUUCACCAUGAAAUUCCUGAAAUCUGCCAGAAGGUACUGGCCUCCCAAAAUACUCAUCACCACUUGUCCUAAUUCGAGGUUCCAAAACAUCAACUCUCCUAGUGCUUCUGCUGAAAACCCGAUCAGAUGGGCUCCUCCUACUGGAGUUUAUAGGCCUUGGAUGACCAUGCUCCCUUGCAGAGUCUACAUCCCUAACGUCAUCAGAAGGCCGAGCCAAGAAGGAGGGAGAUCCACGCCUUCUAGCAACCAUAUCUUCAGGAAAACAAGAACGAUCCGGAGAUCUCAUCCUUUCCACCCUGUACAUAGCUGGUGAUCUAUGCUGAGCCAAUUGUUGAAGUCCACCAAAUCCAGCAGGAGAUCUCCUUCUAGGGGAAGUCCAUGGACCAGGGGAGCGUGUUCGUGAUCCAACUGGAGAUUUUGACCGAACUUGAGGAAACCCCCUCCUCUGGAAUGUAGAGAAGUUCCUGUUCCCUCGGACAAAUUGAGUAUUCCCACCUUCAUACAUUGAGUUCGGACGAGUAUAUGCAGGUUCUAUAAUACCAUCUGGUAAAUCCCUCGCAUAUUUUCCAUCUUGACGAAGUCCAACCAAAUCAACCCCAUUAUCAUCAUUAAGUCUACCAGGGCUAAUAUUUCUUGGAAUUCUGUGAACCAUUUGGAUUUCCCUGCUGCCAGGACCAUCUCUACCUCCAGGAGACAACCUCCUUGAGGAUGGACGUCGAAAUGAAGGCAAAUCGUCAUUCAAAGAUUUCCUUCCUCUACCAAUACUCAAAGAAGCACCAUCGGGUGGAAUAACAAAGUCAUUACAUUCAAGCUCAGUAUCAGCAAUGGCAGCAGCAUGUUUGUUCCUGGUAAACCGAUAGUCAUCAUUGUAACUUCCAAAAGCGAAGUCACGGUUAGAACCCCACUCGCCUCGUGAAGUAUCUAAGCGACCAGAAAACUUCCCUCUUCCCCUUGUAUAAUUCGAUCUGGAGUUUCUAAAAGACUGAUCUUGAAUCCUUUCUCUAAGGAAUCUAUGGGGAUUAUCAGCGUCAAUUUCAUCUCUGCAAAAUACAAGACAGAUAAAUCACAAAAUAAUUCUAGAACCAUAAAAAAGUAAAAAAAGAAUGAUUAAUUAGCAAUGGCAGAGAAUAAUCACCUCUUUCCUCGUGGAAUAAAUUUCUCCCCAUCAGGAUCUGAGUACCUUCCUCUUCCAUUUCUUGACGACAGUAAUCUAUCCGGAAUUGACCUUGUUUUAGAAGGAGAUAUUGCAGAAGCACGAGGUAAAUUGAUAAUGCGGCUCUUGUUACCCCCACUCGUAGAAUUUUUAGCAGCACUAUUACCAUUUAAAGAAUCUUCUACCUUUGAAAGAGAUGAAUCAGGCUUCUCAUCCGUGUUAACUGCUUUAGCAACUUGAACUUUGGGCUCACCUGCUGCUGGUACUGUCCUAAUGCCUGAACUAGUUGUUCCAUCACAGGACAUAUCUUUUUCAAUACUCUUUUGGGAAGAUUUCUUACCUGUUGGCUCAAGUAAUUUCCUUUGGGAGGAACUACAUGGCUCCUCGUCUGCAUCAGUUGUAGCCAUUCCAUCCAAUGGAAGUUUAUCUGAAUGACCAUCUUUAGCCAUAAGCUGUUCACAAUUCUUGUUAGAAACUGUGCCAACACUCUCCUUGAUGCAAUCAACAGCUGUAUUGUCAUGAAUUUUCAAGUCAUUUUCUUUAUGCACAAGACAGGAUUGGUCGGUAUAAGUAUCACCACCUGGAAAUCCAGAAGGACAAUGUUUAUUAUCACAAUCACCAUGCUUAGCACUAUCUGCACUUCCAUCCGCAGUAAGCUCCUCUAUUUUUGAAUUCUCUAAGGGGUCCCGAACUUCACCAUCUUCAUAAUCAUCAUCAUCUCUCCCAACUCUACCAUGCAAAAACUUGCUUACCACAACUUGCUUACCAUCUGAUUCACAUUCAGAACCAUAAGAUUCAUCUUCCAUUGUUUCAGCUGAUAUAUUUAUCUUCUCCUCAUCACUCACGGAUCCCUCACCAUGUGCACGUAAAUCAUGCACAUGUUCCUUUGUCCUUUUCAGCUCAGGAUGAUCAACAUUCAUGUCCUCUGCCUCAUUAUUACCCAUCUUAUGAGCAGCCAUAUUUUCUUCUCUAACCCUGUGAUGCGCAGUCUUAGGAUUCAUAUCUGCAGGAGCUUGAAGAAAGCCAUCACUACCCAUAUGAGGUUCUUUGGUAUGAGUGGAACGUUCAGAUUGAUUUGAUACAUCUGCACUUGUAGAUAAAUCAGAAGAAGUAGGUAUUCUUGAAGGAGAAGGCUUUUGGGGCGUCAAAGGUGUUGGUAAAACAGAAGAAGAAGAAAAACUCUCCUGAGAGUGGACAAACAUUGGAAUUGAUUGUUGUAGUCUCAAAUCUGAUGUCCUGCAGAGUUCCUGACUAACUUCAUUAGUAGGUUCAGGUUUAAUAGACCUUUGUUCAGUUGUGUCCUGGGGGCUGCUAGCUAGCAAUUUAACAGCUUCAGCAUUGUGCUUCUCAAUAGGUUCCCUUUUCACAGCAUUGAAAUCCGAUAAUUCAACAGAUCUCUUGAUCGUUCCCACAGAACUAUUUUUGGAAUUCUCAUCACUAGGUUCUAAUUUGACUACGCUGACACCAGGAGAUUUCUUAUCUUCAGUUGAGAGCAAUCCACUAUGCCGAUUUGUGGAAAUAUCCAUCCUAGGAGCUACUUCAGCUGAUAAACCAGUGCGCUCUCGGACAAAAUCCACAUUCCCAAAAGAGGAACUAAGAGUCAGACGGAGUGAGUCCUCAGAAGGUUUAAUCAACUGUACAGAAGAAUUUGGAAAACUGGAACGUGGCUCCCUUGUUGCAUUAACCUGUUUCUCCUUCACGCUGCUAACGUUGACAAUGGAAUUAGAGCUUAAUAGUCUUCGAUCAUUCAAGCUAAUUGUCUUACCAGAGCCACCAAUAGUACCUUGGAAAGUAGUAUCACCAAUAGAUCCCUCCCAAGCAUCCAUAGUGGUAUUCAAAUCCCAAUUUGAUCGAUUAGCACAUUCAGAUUUGCUAUCACCCUUUAAGCUAGUAUCACCACUCCUCUCUUCUGUAACAUGUUUUUCUUUGCUUAGAGACAAGGACAACAGAGAAGGAUCUACAUUCAAACCAGGAAUAAGAAAUUCCUUCGGUCCCAAUGCCAACUUACCAUUAUUCCCCAAACCCGUAGCAAGUUUGAGCUUAAAAUCAUCCUCCACUAGUUUGUUGUGCAUCUCUUUCUUUACUCUCACCAAAGCAGCACCCACCGGGGUUCCUGGAACUCCUGAGCUUGCUAGUUUUCCAGUCAAAAGAAGAUCCGUGUUGCUCUCGACCCUGUUUGCAGAACCCAAAUUAAACAUAGGGCUCAACUCCGGAAGUUUGACUCCAGAAACGUCUGUGUCUAAAUUAUCCAAGUUGGCGUUUGGUGCAGAAACACAUUCUUUCUUAACCUCUAGGAGAUUAAUCUUACUAGCAUCCGAUUUUUCGGGAGAUCUGACAGCGACAUUUAUACUAGAAGGUCCUGGAUUUGAGGAAGAUAUUUGAUUGUUCUUCAAACCAGGCCUAGAUGCAAUACUGUCCUGUAAACCUGAACCAAAUUCUUGUUUGCUCCCCAAUUCUGAGCCAGAAUCUUCUUUGCUCGCCUGCUCUAAACCAGAUUCUUCUCCAUACGUCACAUCUGCACUAGAUGCUUCUUUCUUCUUCAAUUCUAAAGAAGAUUCUUGAUUCUCUGUAGAAUCUGUUACAAAUUUUUCUUUGUUCGUUGUGUCUGGGGUAGAUUCUUCAUGUUUCUUCAAAUCAUUUACCUCGGGUACUACUUCUUCACGAGGAGGAGACGACGGCGGGGACAACAAGAACCUCCUUUUCUUCAGAGGGAUACCUGCAGAAAUAUCAGUAGAAGACUUCCGGGAAAGGACCCGAGGCUGCAAACGGUGACCAAUCAUCAAUAAUAACAAAGAAUAACAGCAAGUGCUGAUAACAACAUAGGAAACAGAUGAUUAACCUCUUCUUUUCCAGAAACAGGCAUCAGUUCAAAGCUGGCACAAGUCAGAAAAUCUCUUUUUAGCUGAAACCUCUAAAACCAAGUGCCUAAGCACAUCAGAGAUACUUCAAAAGCCGUACGGUGUCAACCGAUUCUGCUCCUGUAAAUUCCAGUUAGCUAGUUGGGAUGGCCUUAACGGAUGAUACACGUAGCCAGACACCUUGCAAUCAGAGAUGGGAUUUUGCUGGUUUAAAAACCAAAGAAAAAGCUAGAGGUCAACAAUUUAAAACGGUAAACCAUAAUCGAAAGCAUAGCUCCUCACAGAAUCAUCAAAGCAAUCGAAAUCAAUUAUCAUUUUGUAACACAGAAACAAAAAAAAAAAAUCACAAAUUGACAAAAUAGGAGCUUUACUAAAAUAGUUUAGAAAAUUAUAUGGCAAUUUCCCAAUAAUCCUUUUCCCUUCCUUGAGAAACCAAAAAAAAAGAAAUUUUUAGAUGAUAAAUUUCGUCCGAGUGGAAGUUACUUGAGCUGAUUAAAAAGAAAAUCCCAAUAAUCCCAGAAACUAUGAUUCUACCCCAAGACACCUCCAGAAAAUCACCAGACUUCCUCUCCUAGCAUACAACCUGCCCCAAAAAGAUCAAAUUUUGAUGGCACCGACAGGCACACCCGGACAAAGACAGCCAAGGUGAUGAACGAUGGACAAGCAUUUUGGCUCAGACAGAACAACAAACAAAAUCUGGGCAUCGAUUGCAUUUUUCCCCCAAAAAAAACACACACACACACACACACACACACAGAGACACAGGUAACACGAACCUCCGAGCUAUUAGCUAGCAUUAGAUCCGUGUACAGCACAAAAAUCUAAUCAAAUUCAGAAACCAAAAACUCAUUGAUAUCGCAUACAUUCAUAUUUCUAUCGAGAAAUCGGGAAAAAAUCUACCGAGAAACCACACAGGAGAAGACAACAACCUUUAGACAGCUAAUAAUGUCGUAUCUUUCUUUUUCUUUCCCUGGUGUGGAAAAAAGGAAAGCAAGCAAGAAAGAGAGGAAAAAAGAAAAGAAGACAAAAGACUUUGGGGAAGAGAAUCGGGAAAGAGAGAGAUGAAACAGGAGAAAGUGGCGUAGUGGUGGCCUCGCCUGGUGGGAAAGCAGUAAUGACUAAUAAUAAUAAUAAUGCUGUGGUGGUUUCCAGGUAAUUUCCUAUCUUCUAUCGUUUGAUUGGAACUGAAAUGAUUGAUUAGGUUUCGUAGAAAUAUCCCCCCGCCCGGCGGGCCCCCCACUAUUAAUUGAAUUAUUUGGUCCUGGUCCAAUUGAAUUGAAUACGAUAAUGCUUUAUUAAUUUUUCAGGUUUUCACCUCCUCCAAGUAAAAUAAAUAAAAAAUACCACCACCCGGUAGUACUGGUGGUGGUGGUGCUAUUUUUCUUCUUAAUUUGUAAAUUAUCGCCAAUUUUUGACUUUUGCGUGGGAGUGGUUAGAAAUCAGAAUCAGCGAGAUGCUUAUCUUGUGCGUGCUGGCUGGCCGUUCUGAGUGGGUGGCGGCAAGUUUUGUUUAUUCCAUCCGAAUUUUUUCAAAAAAAAUUUAUUCAUCGCGGGGUUAGCGGAAAUGUCACGCAAGCUUAAUUAAAUCCGUGAAUCAGAUGUUGACACGUGGAAGUUGAGUCCUUGCGACGUGCGCAACUAGCAGGUGCGGGAGGGCCCCACCGGCUGUGUGAUCCUUUCUUAAGCCUUUGGGUCUGGGGCCUUUGGGCCAAGACGAAUGCGUCAAUGCUGGAUCCUGUGUCUCCUGAUUUUUUUUUUUAUUGGAUGCCAAAUCCUGUGCGCUUACGGCAGUCUGAGUUAGAUCGGUCAAUACGCCUUUGCUGUCUCCUUUUUAUUGUUAUCAUCAUAAUUAAAGAUGGGGACGGUGGAUUUUCAACAACAGCGAAUGAGUCAAGGGUUAAUCGACAGAGACCAUUCGAAGUGCACUGAUAACAUGUAAACGUUUUGGUUUCAGUAGCAGUUUGGUUUUAGUCGCCAGGUUAGCAUGUUGCAUCGGGUUGGGCAACUAUGCAUUGGGCCCGCAAAGUAAAUGCACUGCAUUAAAAUAUACUCAUGUCACCAAGGUUUUGGGCUUAGCCCAACCAUUGCUGGUGUGAAUUUGAGUCAUGAAUAAACAUUGGGCUAACCCAGCCACCACUAGCCUAAAAUUGAAUCAUGAGUAAACAUCAGCCUAAAGAAGGCCUAGAAAUUUGGCCGGUGUGCAAGUUGGGACUGAUAUAAUAAUCUAAUGGGUCACUAACUAAUGAAUUGCAGGGUCCAGACGGUGGGAAAUUGUUGGCCAGACGCUAAUAAUCAAGCAUUCCUUGGAGUAGAGCAAAAUCCCAAGCUCAUCCAAAUCGCGACUCCGUAUUUAUUUUUCCAUUCAUUUUUAAGGGCAAGAAUAGUGAUUAGUCAUCACAGUUGCCGAAACUCCAUUCUUGCUUCAAAAAUCAAUUCUAUUCUCCUGGUAGUAUGCUAGUACCACUAGUACAAUUUUUAGUCAUUCAUUGCAUUCCUGCCUUCUAGCUCCCGCUUCUUACCUCUGGGUCUAGUCUAUGAAACGAAUUAGUGCAGGCUGCAGUUUUCUUAUUAAGAUUUAGGAUCAAGUGUUCACGUUCACCAAACUCCCUAGACCAAUGAAUUGUCUUCUACGAUUAUCGCUACAUGCCUAAAAGAGCACCAGUCAAAUGCAGCAAAACUCUUGGAUUUAGAACUGUUUAGCUACUGAAAAUACUUACUGUUACAUAUCUCAGCUGCUGUCAUCCAGUAAAUUCAAUCACGUGAUAAAUGCACGAAUCACAGACGAAUCGAAGUCCAUUGCACAGAAUCUCGAGCAGACGCGAUUUUCGUUUCCAACAGCAAACAACGACGCAUCCAUUAACCAUGACGUAACCGAAAGAGAGAAUGUACCAGACCAUGACAUAUUCCCCGAAAAGAAAAUUACUACUACUUGUAAUUACAAAGGGGACCAAAUCAGAAUCCCUAAUUACUUCACAGAACUAUCCUAACCGCCGAACCCAUAGAGGGUACGGCCUUGCCUUUUGAGAGCAUACACGACAUCCAUGGCGGUGACAGUCUUCCGGCGAGCGUGCUCGGUGUAGGUGACGGCAUCUCUGAUCACGUUCUCCAGGAAGAUCUUGAGGACGCCGCGUGUCUCCUCGUAGAUCAGGCCGCUAAUACGCUUCACGCCUCCUCUGCGAGCCAGACGGCGAAUCGCCGGCUUCGUGAUUCCCUGAAUGUUGUCGCGAAGCACCUUACGAUGACGUUUUGCUCCUCCCUUUCCCAAGCCCUUGCCUCCCUUGCCACGUCCCGACAUCUUCAAUCACAGCUGUUUGUUUCAUAUCAGCAUUACAGCGCAUGAUUAGAAACCAGUAAAAUUUUUAAGAUAUGAAGAAUCACGAAAAAUUGCUAUGAAAUUUCACGCUGGGUACAGAGAAAGAGAGAGAGAAACCACCAUCAAAUCAGAUAAAGAAAGGAACGAAAGAGAAAAAGAUAAAAGUACCUGAAAGAGAAAAGCGGCGAACUAGAUGAAGACAAAUGAAAUUGAGAGACUUCACUUGAGAGGAUGGGCCGGUGACUGGAGUCAUUUAUAGCGAGGAACACAUUUGGGAAUGAUCCGCGUCGAGUGUUGAAUUUAAGUGAUGGAGAACGUUGAUUACCAAUUGAACGGUGAGGAUUGUGAGUUUAUAGCUUGAAAGAGGAUCGCUGACAUGGCAGUAUGCGAAUUGGAUUUUCACUGAUUAUAGUUUUUGAACUUUGCAGAAAUGGCCCCUGGAUUUGCAAUUUAUCGCUUUUCUAUCCCUCUAUGCUCAAAAAACAAUUAAUAUAUUGUGAUUCCUCACACACUUUACAAUAGUCUGAUUACUAAUCCAGUAUCUGAUUUCUGACCAUAAUUUUGUUGGGAAGCCACGUGAUUUCAAGGUUUAGCCCAUAACUAUCCUUGGUUCCAAAAAGAUAAAGACAUAAAUUGUCAUUUGCAAGUGUUUUUGUAGAACUUGUGAUUUUUACAAUUCAAUCUUUACUUUCAUAAAUACUAAACACAAUAGAGUAAUUAUAUGCAUAAUAAGUUUGUUUAUGCACUGAUUACAUUAUGGGGCAACUUCAACACCAUUGAAUUAAUUCAUUGAAUUAAUAGUCACUCUCUCAGAUCAACGUUUGUUUCCUCUAUUACAAGAAUUUAUGAAUUGUUGAAUUUAAGAUCGUAAUUUAGCCCUAAGAGCAUGAAUAUUCAUUCAUUCAAUAGAUGCCACACAUACACUCUCUAACAGACGAAUUGAAGAUGGGAUGAUGACUGCGUGAGAUUUUACAUUUCAAUGAAAAAAAAAGGAAAAAAAGUUUAGGAGGAGUAAAAGUUAUUUAUUUUGUAAUAAGAAAGGCGUAGAAUUUAGGUAACGAGAAAAAAGAGAGAACGAUUUGAUUUUUUUUUUUUUAAAAAGGAGUUCCAGCCAAAAAAAAAUGUGAUAUUUAAAUCAAAUUGCGGCGAAUCUCCUUUUAUUUUUGUAAAAUUAAAAAUAAAAAAUCAUUCUGGCAUAAAAAUAUAUGAAAUUUAAAUCAAUUUUUUAUGAAACCUCAUAGGCCAUUUGCGACGACUUUUAAAGUGGAAUCCAAAGCUAACACCACUUUUGUGAUGUUUUCUUGUUUUCACAUUAUUCUGAGAGAUUCGGCGAUGAAUUCUAGCCACUAAAUCAAAAUGUAGUUAAUUUACGUGUGGAUAAUCUGCUACAACUGUGGUUUACAAUUGUUUACCACAUUAGACGAUUGGCAAAAUAUGUAUUUCUAGAAGGGAAAAUGUUCGUAACGUCCCUCAUAUUUUGUAAAAUAAUUUUUUUCGUCCCUCACUUUUAAAAGUGUAAUUUUAUAUCCCUUACACAUUCACAUCGGUCAAAUUUAGUCCCUAAUUAGGUUUCCGAUCAUUUUUUGGCCGGAAUCCAUCACGUACAAGGCACGUGAUCAUUUUUUAAGGGUAAAUUUAUCAAAUUAUAUUUUACAUAAUCUAAUCUAUAAUCCUCCAUAUUUUAUAAGACAAAUUUUUUCGUCCCUCACAUUUUAUAAAAUGAUUUUUUUAUCCCUCACAUUACACAAAAUGAAUUUUUCUAUCCCUCAUAUUUCAAAAAAUGAAUUUUUCCACCCCUUACUAAUUAUGUGUGUAAGGGAAACCCUAAAAAAAAUAUAUGUGUGUGAAUACAUUUUUAUUUAAACACGUGUAUAUGUCUAUUUGAUUUUGCUUAAUAAUACGAAUAGCAUAAAUAUAUGUAUGUGUCUAUUUGAUUUCACUUAACAAUAUGAAUACCAUAUAUUAUACGUGAUCAUUUGAUUUUAUCUGGUAUUAGCUAGUAAAAAAUCUUACAUUUAUUGUCAAGUUGGCCAAUAAAGCUAUUUUCGGUCAAAAUACAAUAAGAAUAUGCAAAUUAAGAUUCUACUGGUAAAUAUUAGUCAUAAUCAUACAAAAAGAGAAGAUAACCCACAAGUUGGGUCCAAUUACAUACAUGUGUUUAUACUAUUAUUAUUAAACAAAAUCAAAUAGACAUAUACAUGUGUUUAAAAAAAAUGUAUUCACACACAUAAUUAGUGAGAAAUGAAAAAUUCAUUUUUUGAAAUGUGAGGGAUAGAGAAAUUCAUUUUGUGAAAUGUGAGGGAUGAAAAAAAUUAUUUUAUAAAAUGUGAGGGACGAAAAAAUUUAUUUUAUAAAAUGUGGAGGACUAUAGAUCAAAUUAUGUAAAAUAUAAUUUGACAAAUUCACCCUUAAAAAAUGAUCACGUGCAUUGCACAUGAUGGAUUUCGGCCAAAAAAUGAUCGGAAAUCUAGUUAGGGAUUAAAUUUGACCGAUGUGAAUAUGUAAGAGACAUAAAAUUAUAUUUUUAAAAGUGAGGGACGAAAAAAAUUAGUUUACAAAAUGUGAGGGACGUUUUGGACGAUUUUCCCUUUCUGGAAUUUUCGUUGGGUUAAACAUUACUCGUUGAGUCGUGCCAAGAAUUCCACCUCCCCGCCAAAGGCGAAAGGCAAACAAGCCACUGUCCGUUUAAUAGACACAUCAGACUCGGAGUCGGGGUACAAGAAAGCUUUUUUGCGUGGCCGGAAAAUGCGGACGCUAGUACUAGUUGGAUCAGCUAAUUUCACAUAUACCUGGUGCCCUCUAGCUCGACGUCCUUUCUUCACUCUUUCCGUUCGCCACCGCCCCAAACUCAAAUUCUCCACUUCUUCGGAUAAGGUUCGCCUCCGAUAUUCAUACUAUCUCCGUCUUAUUAUCUUCUUUCUGAUUUGAUUCGUUUACUCUCUCUCUCUCUCUUUUCUUGCUUGAGCUCCCGUAAUACGUACUUAAAAGAAAGUGUUGUCUUAAGCUUCUACAUUACUAAAACUACAUAAAUGAUGUAUAAAUUUCUGGGCUUGUUGGCUUGCGUAAGAAUUAUCUUGAAUAAGAAGCAACGCAGUAGUAUCUGAUAUUGAGUCCAAUGGCUUAGGCAUGUAGGAGCUACAUUGACGAGGAAUGUGAUGAGGAUUUUUUGCCGUGGUUGGAGCAAAAAGCAUGUACAAAAAUAUCGUCCACGCUUUCCAUUGGAAAAUCUGCACAUGGAAGGUACAUUGCAAGUUAGCUUCUGCCCCCAAUGCUUGUGAAUUCAUCCUAGUAUAUCUAUUUUCUGAACAGAUCAAUUACUUUUUAUAACUGUUUCAAUUUGCUGCUGUAACUCGUUUCAGACUUGCGUUAACCAACUCACACUAAGAAUUUGCCUUUAGUUUUAGUUGUUCCCUUUGGAAAAUUAUGAUCUGAUAUACAUAAAUAUGCUGCAUCUUUGAAUGCAGGGCUCUAUAUGCUUCCAAGCCCAUACAAGCUGGGGACUGCAUAUUGAGAGUUCCUUACAGCGUGGUAUUUAGGUCUUCUGAAAAAGAUUGAAUGGGAAAGCGUUUACUUUCAUAGAAAAGUUUUGACUUAAAUUUUGAGAGUGCUUAAUGCGUUGAGAUGUUGAAUUCACGUUGAGAUGUUGAAUUCACGUUGAAAAUUGUGAAGUGGACUGACAAACUUCAAAAAAUCAUAAUUUGUUUAUUUUAUCUGCUAACCACUUUUUUUUUUUUUUAAUUUUCCCGAGUGUACACUAAAUUGAUCUUAAUCAUUCUGUUCUAUGGUGCAACUCAGAUACUGAAUUUUUUGCUUAUUAGUUUUUUCUCCUGGUAAGUUAAGAGUAUGACUUUAAGGUGGUUUGUUAAGUUUCUUAACUGAUUCUGCAGCAACUAGCACCAGAUAAUCUUCCUCCGGAAAUUUGUUCUUUGUUUGGAGAUGAAGUUAGCAGUGUCUCAAAAGUUGCUCUACUCCUGCUGCAUGAGCAGAAAAUGGGUCAGGUUGUUCAGCAAUAUUUUGAGUUUUCAAUUUUAUCAGCAAAUCCAUUUUUAUACUUACCACAUGUUGUGCCAGAAAAUCUGAUUUCUUUUCUACUUCCAUCUUCAGAAAUCUGAAUGGGCUCCAUAUAUCCGCCGGCUUCCUCAACCUUUUGAAAUGCAUAACACUGUAAAUGCUCUUUCUUUUCCUAGAUGAUGUAGUUUGUUUUUAAUGAAACAAAUACCACUGGCAGUUUUAAAAUACAGAGAAAAUAUGAUAGCUUCAACCUUCUUGCCUUUCAAAUAUGUGCUUUGCUUUCUUUCACUGGUCAUUGGUGUUUUUGUGGGUGGGGCCCACAGCAUUUUUAGUCGUAAACUACUUCUUCAAUUCUGGAUUCUUACCAUCAAACACAUAGCUAAAGUUUCUCUCAUAGAAAGAGUUAAGUUGUACUACUGGUGAUUGGUGAAUUCUUCUGUUUUAGUGGUAGAUCAAAUAUAAUGGCUUCCCUCUUGUUAAGGGCAUAGUCGUACUAAUUUAGCAAAUAUAACCUUAUAGUACUGGAUGGUGUUGUUAAGAUCCAUAUCUCUUGUCGUACUAGUUGUCCUGGAAAUUUUUUUACCAAAUGUAUUUGGUGAAUUCAAUUCAACAAAAUUUUGCCAUUAUAUGACCCAGCGCAUUUGACAUCUCAAGAACCCAGGUAUUUACGAGCAUUUAAGAUGGCAAUGUUGGGGUCUCUCUCUCUCUCUCUCUCAUAUGCACAGGCAAACUAUCUUUCAUGUGGUAUUAGUGAAUAUACAUGUCUUUCUCUUUUAUGUCUUGUAAGUUAUCUGCAGUUUUAUUCUGAUGUUCAAGAGGUAUGAUGUUUCGGUGACAAUUGAAAUUGCUGCAGAUAUUCUGGAGUGAUGAUGAACUGGAGAUGAUUAGACAAAGUGUUAUAUACCAGGAGACCAUCAAACAAAGGAAUCACAUUGAAAAGCAGUUUAUGGCAAUUAAACCAGUUAAUAUUUUUGUUGCUAUUUGUUGAUUGCUUUCCUAUUAACAAGCCACUGUGCAUCUACUAUGGGUUAUUUUCUGCCAUUGAUACCUCUGAAACUUGUCUCCAUUAAAGUUUUUGCAGCUCAAUGGGCAUUCUAAUGGUUGUAUUUGCUUGAGAUGAAUGGUUGUGAACCUUUUUUUGGACUAUUUUGUGUACUAGUCCCAACAUGUCCUGCUGUCAAUCAUUUUUAGUUAAUCCAAGCACCUCUGUAUUGAUAAGGAGAAAAAGUACCAUAGCGUUAUAUGGAUACUUCUCUUUGUUUCUGACAUCCUUCUAUAACAUCCUUUUAAUUUUUCAAGUUUCAAAAAGUAUGAUGAAAGAUGAUGUUGUCUCAUUAGUAUGCCUUGAUAUUUAGAUAAUUUGACUUUAGCAGUAGUACUUAACCAAUUUGUUUUCUUUGUCUCUAAUUUCAGGCCACUGAUCAAUUCCCUCAAUGUUUUGAAGAUGUCUCUCUGAAGGACUUUGCUUAUGCUCAUGCUUUAGGUACAAUUCUGUUGCUGUUAUCAAUGUGUCUAUGUACUGAUUAUCGAAUUUUACUUUUAGUUAUGGAGUUUGUUCCUGUCUCUAUGACAGUUCCACUAUCCUAUAAAGAAAAGCUAACUUCUUCUUUGUUCCAAAUACACCUAUCCUGUUAUAAUCACAUUUAAUUUCUGUUGAUUUGGUCACCAUUUCUUUAAACUUCUCUGCAAAAGAUGUUUCUGGUUUGCUGUUUGAUUCUGGUUUCUGACCUUCAAAUUUGAAUUAUAUCUAAAGUCAUCAUCUUCUUGUAAGUCAGGCAGUCUAUAACUCAUAUUUCCUAUAUAUGUUGCUAAGACAAAAGGCUCCAAAAAUAUUUUUAUAAAACAAAGAUAGUUUUAGAUCUAUUCAGUUUAAAUUAUCACUCUGAAUUUUGAGUAAAUUUUGACAAAUGUAAAACACAAGUGAUUUCUGUCGUUCGGUUUUUCUUUUCUGUCUAUAAAAGCUAGACAUUGGUGAAGUUGUCAAUAUAUCUGGACGUAUGAAUUAAUUUUGUUUUAGAAAAAAUAUGAACAUUUUCUUUCUUGUUUACUGACUAGUCUAGCAGCCAUUUUUUCACCAGUUUCAUCCAUAUCAUGUUGCUUCCCUCUUUUCCCACAACAGGAAAUGCACAGUUGAGACACCAUAAGGAUUAAAAUAACAACAUUGUGUAAACCUUGAACUUUGAGUUGGUGAUUUUAUGUUUCUUCAUUUCCUUAAGUUUUAUGGACUCGAACAUUUGGCGAUGACCUCUUUCUUGACAUUCCAGUUACAUCUCGAGCAUGGGAAAGCUCGAGGGGUGUCUCGAUGGUAUGCUGUCAAAAGAUUGUAGUACACUUGUUUACUGUUUCUGUGAUGAAAAUUGGUUAUAUGCCAAGUAACAGUGAUCAAUUGCUUUUAUUGUUGUGUUGUUUAGAUUCCAUUUGCAGAUUUUCUAAAUCAUGAUGGUACUUCAGAGGCAUGUCUUAUGAGUCAUGAAGGAAAACAGCUCUCAGAGGUCUCUCUCUCUCUCUGCAUUUUGAUCAUGAUUUUUCAAACAUUUUUACUGGUAGAACUACCAUCUUUUUAACCCAUUUGCCAAUUGCACAGCAUGAAAUUCUUGUUACUGACUUAACAGUGUAAACUUAAGGUACUUGUUACAAUAAAAUCUCAUAAUUCAAGCUAAUUGAUAUCUUGCUUGACAAGAUACCUGUCUUUGAGUCUUUACACAGGUCUAUUUGGACAUUUGAUUCAAUUCUGGUGUGUCAUUUUAGAACUGUACUAUUUAUCCUGUUCAUUCUUCUUCACUGCAAACCUGAUUCUAGGUAUUUCUUUUGUGCAAAUAUUUCAUAACUGAUUACGUGACUCCAGAAAAGUUCAAAAAUGUGAUUUAGCUAUUUUAUGUUAAAGUAGGCUUUUAUUUUUGUGCAGGUCAUUGCUGAGCGUGAUUACAGCCCUGGUGAUCAGGUAUGGUGAUGUAUUCAUAUGUCAACUCAUUGAAUAUGUUUUACCAUCUAUUUGAUUCUGUUAUAGGUGCCUGCUGAAUCAUAUUUAUCAGCUGGCAACUGCUUUAGUUUCUUAAUGUUCAGUUGCUUGGAGGUAAUGGUUUCGCAUUUCUGACCAGGUGCUAAUAAGUUAUGGAAAAUUUUCCAACAGUAGCCUAGUUUUGGACUUUGGCUUCACAGUUCCUUACAACAUUUACGACCAGGUUAGCCUCCUCAAAUUUGAGACUCGGAUAUCUUCCGAUAUUAUCUUGCAAGAAAUGAAGCAGAGGCACUUCCAGGCAUUAUUGUUACGCAUUUGUGUGCGAUUUUCUCUUAACUUUUGCUGCUUGAAGUGUGCGUUACCAAUAGAUUACUAUGAUACUCGAGUUUGUGAAUUUUAAACUCUGCCUAGAUUUUCCACCUGCUGUCUAUGCGACUUCUAGUGUAAAGUAAGUUGCUAACCUUAAUACCUAGUAUUCAAGAACUAGAGAGAAACAGGGAGGAACAGAGUGAGGGCGAGGGUUGCGGUUGCCUGUCAUUUUUCUUGAAUAUCAACAUUUUUGGAGGUUGAAUUUGUACUUCUCUCAUACACUGGCUUUAAUCCAUGCAUCCACAGGUUGGAUGUACCUAAGAAGUGGUAAAAACCAUCUUGACAAUACAAUGAGAAAGGCGUGAUAUGUCCGCAUUUGGUUCUAAUGUCAUAUAGAUAAUUAUAUUGUCUGACCAUGAUAACUUCUAUGAAGGUGUAAAACAUGUUUACACUGAAACACAAGUUCGGUUUCCAUUUAAAUUCUACUACUGCUGCCAUCUGCAGUCCAUUUUUGUCCACUUGACUGCAGGAGCCAGUGCUUUUACAGUAAUCCUGUGUUUUGAAUUACUAAUAGUUAAAGUUUCAUCUUGUGACCAACCAAAAGUUAGAUCUUGUGAGAGAUUUCACUAUGUUUGAGGCAUUUGAUUGGCACAAAUAACCCUUUCUAAUCACAGACUGCAAAAGGUAUACACAUCUGUUCUCUCCAUCCAGAUCAACAUGUACUUAUUUUUUAAUGAGCUAGCAGUCAUAUGUGGCAUAUGUCACGAGACCUAGUUGCAUGUCAUUUAUGUUUAAUAGUGGUUAAGAAUUUGUGAAGUUCUAAGUAUGAGAAGCUUUUUCCGUUGUCUUUUUUACCGGUUAACUGCUUUAAUGAUCUAGUGAGCUGGCUGGCCUGGCUAAGUAUGAUUGACAUUUAUUUGUUUUCAGGCUCAAGUUGAGCUCAAUAUACCUCAGCACUAUCAUCUUUUUCAGAUGAAGUUGGAACUUCUGCAGAGAUUCAAGGCACCAGCCAUUAAAGAUGUCAAUGAAUUUAGCUCUUCUGAGAAAUUAUUUACAAUCAAGUUGGUAUUGAUUCACUAACAUGCUUUUCAAGAAUUGAUGCGAUUGAGUAUUAAAUUUAGACAUUUAAAUUGUGCAUCCCUUCCACCAGGCCAUGUGUUGGGAGCACUAAAGAUAUGAACAGAAUAAAAGAUUAGCACUCUAAAACAUAAGUUGUCUAAAAAAUAUCAAGGAGUUCUUCUCAGACAUUUCAUCUUCAUCAAACUUCAGAUUUUCAAACGUAUGUGCUUGUUUUUUUUCUAAAUAUGAGCUCAUUGUAUCUAAAUGUUUGCAACAACAAUCUCUUCCUGAGAAGUUUCUCCAUUGCCAGCAUCAGCACAUGACUUUGCUUGAUCUCAUUUAAGCCUGGUUGUCAUGAAGGGAAGUGAAGUUUGCUUCUAAGAAAGGGAGGGGAAUUCCACAAUCUUUUCGUGCAUUUGCUUGUGUACUAUGUUCAAAUGCUCAAGGUCUUGAAUCCGUCUUUUUGCUUUUGCUAUCUGGAUAUUGCAAGAUGCUAUUUUUCUUAGAUCUGACUGAUUUGCAUCUAUUUCUCUUUUCCUUUUUCCAUUUGAUCUCAGAAUUGAGUGAUUUGGAGUCAGAAGCUGCACAAAGCCAUGGUAGGCUGGCUCGAAGUCCUUUGAAAAACAAAAGCAGGGAGAUUGAAGCACAUGAGUUGAUACACUCAAAAAUAACUGAACAAAUCAAUGAAUAUGAUGCAUGUAUCAAGGUGAUAAUAACUUCUGACCCAUGAGUUUCCCUUUAUGAUCCUAUCAUGAUUCUGUUUUAGGAUACUUUUUGAAAACUGAAAUCGAGGAAAAGGACUUGUACAACAUGGCUGGCCAAAAAUUCUUAGGUCAUUUUUGAGGCAUGUACUUCUGUCGUUUCACUUUUGCCUUUUUGGUAUGUUCCUACUAUUUGAUUAUUAAAUAAACAGGCGACUAGCAGAGAAGAGCUUUUUCUUCAAAGUACUAAACGUUUCAACCUUUAAUUUGUGCAGUGUAAUCUGUGUGUUGGUUUGGCAAGUUCAUGUUAUAAUUUUUUACUGGUGGCUAUGUACAGUCUCUGGGACCAUCCACCUCUCAAAACUUGGUUAGAAAACAUGCUUUAAGGAGACAAAUGGCUCAUGAUCUUCUUAGUGGUGAGCUUCGUGUUCUGAAGUCUGCUUCUGCAUGGCUGAAGAAGUAUUGUGCAACCUUAUUAGAAGGAUAGAGUGUAGGGUUCUAUUCUACAUAUGGUGAUCCAGUUUGAAGGUGGCCUCAUCUUGGAACUUAAGAGGGAGGUUCCAAUUGGUUUUCCAAUUCUCCAACCGCACACAAAGCUUGCUGAUAGUCAGACGAAUGGAAGUCGGUUUAUCACGUGCCUCCUCAUCGACAACCUAACAGAAAGCAGGAAGUUUUAGAGAUGCAUUACUCGUACAACAACAGUAUGAUGGUAGAGAAGGCAAGGGGCAAAAGUGCUGGAGUUGGCCAUGGCGCAUAGAACUCCUGUCGAGAAGUUCAUUGCUUAUUGUUGAGGGAACAGAAGUUAGUCGUGGGGUUGGGUACUGAAAAAGUAGUAGGUUGUUACAGGGGUUAAUUACUUUUUUUCUUCCCUGUUCUGUGGGCAAACUAUGAAUCAAGAUUUAGCCAAAUUGUAUUCAGCUCCCUUGUCAGUAAACACCGGAUGCAGGCCAUGGAUGGGUGGAGUGAAAUGAAAUGAAAAGCAAGAACUUUUAUUUGAAAGAGUCGAACAAAAGCACCCAAAAAAAAAGGUAAUAUUAUAAGAUGAAAAAGGAAUAACAAAUUGAAAAGUUUGCCAGAGUUGAUUUGUUCAUUCAGCCCUUUUAUUGAGUGAAAUGUUACUUUUGGAUGGAGGGCAGUUCGCAACUCUUUUUCAGUUUGGAAGACCAAAUAAAAACUUUUGCAGUUUGGAGGGUCAAGUUAGGACAUUUGCAAACUUUGGAGGGUGAAACUGGCAUUAAAUUCAUUAGUUCUCAUCAGAAAGGGGAAAAUUUUUGUUUUAAAAGGAAAACCCACAAAAAAACCAUAAACUCAGACGGGACAAGGGUCCCAUAGGCCCAUUGCCUUGCCGAGUUCCCGAACAUAACAUAAUGGGCUUCUGUUCGAGCCCAGUGUAUUCCAAUUAAAGAAAGCCCAUACAGGCAGACAGCAGCGGCUUAUAAUCCAAGGACAUCGUCAAGACAGCCUCCAUUCACUCAGUCCAAACAACCGCCGCAGUCCGCAGAGGAUAAAAUAAAAGGGGGAUCCGGUUCGUUCUAGGGUUCUUCUUUCCGUUUCAUCUCUUUCUGCAGGUACGCCCAAGCUCCCCGUCCCCUCCCACUUACCAUCUUCCCCAGCUUGUAAUUCCUAUUCCGAGCUAUCAGCUUAGCCAUUCUUCCGUAAAUUGUUACUGUUUUGAUAAUCCUUUUUCAUGUACUACGAAUUUGCUGUAUAUGUCUGCUGGCUUGCUUUUUUGCAUAUAUGCUGUCUUCUGUUGGAUUGAGUCUUUUCGUACAUGCCUACUUUAUCUGUUAAGUAGGUAAUUUGAAUGCGGAAGAGUGUAAGUUUUGUGACAUUAUUGGAAUAAGGGUUUGUUAUAUACUGGUCCUAGGUUAUAAUCCAAGUGAUAAUAAAUCGAACAUUUUUAUGACGUAUUAGUAAUUAUUAGCUCUACAUCUAUGAAGAAUGUAAUUUUCUGGGGUUUCUCGUAUGUGGCGUGCGUGCUUUUAUUUGGGUUUCUCUAAAAUUAAGUCUUUGAUAAUUACUUAUUUCUUUUGGUGAUUACAUGUGCAAAAUGGUUAGGUUUUCGGUAUUAGAAACCAAAUGUCGAUUUUCACUCACAAUUCUAGAAAUUAAUGGCAAAUUCGAACCAUUUAAGUAUUGAUUGCUGUUUGCAAAUUCAUGAAUGGUUUGAAUCUUAAAAAUUUGAUAUUUUCUUUUCCUAAUGAAUUAAUAAGAAAAUAGAAAUUGAUAAACCAAUAUUGAGUUAAAACCACCAUCUCCAUUUCAAUUGUAACAACAAUUAUGAGUACCUGUAAAACCCCGAGGAGAAACUGUUACAUAGAUGUCUAUUAUCUUGUUCAUAUCUGUUUUAUCUUGGCUAUAAAGGAAUUCUAAGAAAAAUUUCGUAGCUCCAUUUUAUUUUGAAUUGAAUAGAAAAUAGGUAUCUUCUUUUGUUUGAAUAAAGCACAGCCCAUGUCACCCCAUAAAGAACGGCAAUAGAAUAAAAGAGAAGAGGGAUAUUAAUAAUCUGCUGAUAUGUUUAGUAUCAUGUAUUCAUGUUCUUUAGGUUUUGCACAAAUACUUUUAAAAAGUUGGGGCUCUAAAAGAUUAUUGCAAUUAUUAGGGAAAAUGCCUCGCUAUGAUGAUCGCCAUGGUGUUACAAGGCUCUAUGUUGGCCGCCUUUCUUCAAGGACCCGUUCACGUGACCUGGAGGAUCUAUUUAGCAGAUAUGGAAGGUAAUUAAUCUACUUCAGUAGAAUUUGACUCAUUUCAUUUGCUUUUUUUAUUUACUUUUUUCGUAAUCUAGAUAAAGUUUAUGGAAUUUUGGUGUAAUGUUACUCCAUCUGCUUCUGUUUAAGCUUUUUGUUUUCCCCCUUAUUGGGUCAAUACUUCCCACCAUUGUUCUUUUUCUGUAUUGGUCAUCGGUCUUUGUUCUGGGGUUUAUCCACAUCAAGGCGUCUUGGGCAGAAUCAGAAUCCUCGUGAAACCCUUAUUGCCUUUGAGAUUCAAAUUAACACUUCUAUACAAAAUCUAUUUGAGAGAAAUUGUCCCACGUUUCAUUUUAACUUGAAUAAUGUUUCUGAAGGUUUAUGGGCUUUUGCCCAACCUGGAGGUCUAUGGUGAGAGGUUGCCCUUGGUGGAAUUGGUCGCUUGUCUUGCAGAAUGUAUAGGAGACUUUGGCGAUUCUAUCUUAAUGUUAUUACAAUUUUUUUUGAUGGAAAUGGCAACAAUCUCAAACUGGUGUUAUAGUUCAUCUUUGAGGGGCGAAGUAUCAGUCCUUUGGUUCUAACGUGUUGAUGGCCUUACUGUUUGUGGCACCCAUUUACGCAGAGUACGUGAUGUGGACAUGAAGCGUGAUUAUGCCUUUGUGGUACGCUUUUCUAGUAUCUUUUUUAAAGCAUCUUUUGCUAUUUAAGUGCAAGAGGGAGUCCUGUAACCUUUAUUUUCGUGGGCUCCUCUUCCCUUUUUAUCUGCUAUUGGUUGCAGGAAUUUAGUGAUCCUAGAGAUGCUGAUGAUGCAAGAUAUAGCAUGAAUGGCCGGGAAGUAGAUGGAAGUCGUAUUAUUGUGGAAUUUGCAAAGGGGGUAAGGUUUUCACUGCACGCUAUUCAUGAUCCUUCUCUCCCUUCCUGUUUCAGUUGUUUAUUCUGGUUCACUUGUACUUUUCCUUUGAUUGUUUGCAUGUUUUAUGUUGCCCUGGCCGCAUCUUUUCUUUUGAUUUAUUUAUGUUUAACUGAGCUGUUGUUAUUUUUGUCAGGAAAACUUUCAUGUUACAAAUCAUAAUUUUGCUUGUUUAUUCCUGCCUCUGAAGCAUAUUCGGAUGUGUCAUGUUUGAUUUUUUUUUUUAAGCGGGUUCCAAAGUGGCUAAAGGGGCUCUGCUUUUUUACUUUAGGUACCACGUGGUCCUGGUGGCUCCCGUGAUCGUGAUUAUCUUGGCAAGGGUCCAGCUCCUGGAACUGGGCGCUGCUUUAAUUGUGGAAUCGAUGGCCAUUGGGCUCGAGAUUGCAAAGCUGGGGACUGGAAGAACAAGUGCUAUCGAUGUGGUGAACGAGGCCAUAUAGAAAGGAACUGUCAAAACAGCCCCCAAAAGCUAAAGUGCAUACUGAGAUUCCUUCUUUUUUUCCCCCCAUUUUUUAUGAUUAGUCAGUGUUUCCAUGUUCUUAACUGAGUUUUGGUUGCGCAGACGCGGGCGCAGUUAUUCUCGAUCACCAUCUCCUCCUCGUCGUGGCAGGAGUCCAAGCCGUAGUUACAGCAGGAGCAGAAGCUACAGGUUAAACAUCUUGACUCAUUACUAGCUUCUCGAUUUAUUUUCUUUGCUUAGAUUUGCUAUUUUGUAGGCCUAAGUUUCCUGAAUUUGGAAUCCAUUUCCAUUGGUAAAAUGUUGCUUUGCAUGAGUUUUAACUUGCAUGAAAGGAAGGAGGAAAGUAAAAUUUAUCAAUAACUGAUGGGCACCUUCAUUUUCCUUGCAUUUAUCUUCAAAACCUGUCUUCAUGUUAAAGUGCUUUAUUGUAGGAAUUUGCUGUUUUUGCACCAGGUCAUAUUGGAUCAAAAUACAUUUAGAAUGUGACCCUUUUUUUGGUAUAUACCAUGUGUUUGCAGCCGAUCGAGGUCUCCACCAAGGAGGGAUCGUAGCAACGAGCGUGAGGAGAAAAGAUCUAGGAGCCCUAAGCGUCACAGGGUAUCAUCUCCACCACCAUCCAAAGGGAGGAAGCACAGCCCAACACCUGAUGAGAGAAGCCCCCGAGAGAGGGGCACUCCUUCACCAAGGGAUGGUAGGCCAACCAAUGACUCAGAGUAUAGUAGAAGCCCUAAAGAUGAUGCUCCAAGGGAUGAUGGUAUCAAAGAUAGGAGUCCUCUUGAAGAAAAU